rnacentral:misc_RNA from 1 species
AAAAUCUCACCCAGGCUUUGGUGUUUUCGAACGUCGGGCAGGGGUGGUUUUUGGAUUUUUGCGUCAGCAAUCGUCUCAAACUGAUCGUAUGUACGCCAACAGCUCAGUCUUUUGGUCGUCAAAGUGCAACAGAUUUAUCUAUUCGCUUGGACGACUCGAUCGAUGGCCUUGAUGUUCAUGCUUCCAAGUCUCAUCACGGGCUCCUGAAUCGGAUGGUUUGGGAAGCCUCGAUA